rnacentral:rRNA from 1 species
GACGAACGCUGGCGGCGUGCUUAACACAUGCAAGUCGAACGGAAAGGCCCUGCUUUUGUGGGGUUCUCGAGUGGCGAACGGGUGAGUAACACGUGAGUAACCUGCCCUUGACUUUGGGAUAACUUCAGGAAACUGGGGCUAAUACCGGAUAGGAGCUCCUGCUGCAUGGUGGGGGUUGGAAAGUUUCGGCGGUUGGGGAUGGACUCGCGGCUUAUCAGCUUGUUGGUGGGGUAGUGGCUUACCAAGGCUUUGACGGGUCGCCGGCCUGAGAGGGUGACCGGCCACAUUGGGACUGAGAUACGGCCCAGACUCCUACGGGAGGCAGCAGUGGGGAAUAUUGCACAAUGGGCGGAAGCCUGAUGCAGCAACGCCGCGUGCGGGAUGACGGCCUUCGGGUUGUAAACCGCUUUCGCCUGUGACGAAGCGUGAGUGACGGUAAUGGGUAAAGAAGCACCGGCUAACUACGUG